rnacentral:rRNA from 1 species
GAUGAACGCUAGCGGUGUGCUUAAAGCAUGCAAGUCGAACGUGAUCUCUUGGAUUCGUCUGAGAGUGAAAGUGGCGAACGGGUGAGUAAUGCGUUGGUGAUCUGCCCCGGAGUGGGGAAUAACUAUUGGAAACGAUAGCUAAUACCCCAGAUGUCUUCGUGUUUGGAAAGCGAUGACUAAAGUUCAGGCGCUCCGGGAGGAGCCGACGUCCCAUCAGCUAGUUGGUAGGGUAAUGGCCUACCAAGGCAUAGACGGGUAGGGGGCGUGAGAGCGUGACCCCCCACACUGGUACUGACACACGGACCAGAUACCUACGGGUAGCAGCAGCUAGGAAUAUUGGACAAUGGGCGAAAGCCUGAUCCAGCAACACCGCGUGGAGGACGAAGGCCUUCGGGUCGUAAACUCCUUUUUGGGGGGAUGAGAAAGGACAGUACCCCCAGAAUAAGGCCCGGCUAACUACGUG